AAUUUUUGUUGACAAUAAAUUUGCAAUUGUGUACAGCAGCAUAGAACCGAGGUGCACCCCACGGGUAACCCUGUUGAACGCAGAUACAAGAGAGAGAUUGUUGUUGUUGUUGUUGUUUCUUUCUUUCUAAAUCUUCAUUGUUUGAAAAAAAAAAAAGAGAGAGAAGAAAAAGACGAAAUUGGAUUGAGUUGAGAGUAGAAGAUGACAGAGGUAUCGAUGUGUAGCAGCAGCGUCUCUGAGCUGAGUCCAGACGAGGAGAGGAUCAUGAUCAGAGACAUUGCUCUCGCUUCCCAAGCUAACAGCAAAGAAGGCGACACCUUCUUCUUAAUCACUCAGAGAUGGUGGCAACAUUGGAUUGAAUAUGUGAACCAAGACCAGACAAACACUAUGUAUGAUGGAUCUUCCUUAUCAGAACAUUAUGAUUUGGCCAAUUCAAGUGCUUUAAAGAGGCCAGCUGGUAUUGAUAAUUCUGAUUUGAUAGAUGAUGCUGUGUCAGAGGACUCUAGUAUGGGUAUUGAGAUUCAUGAUACUCUUUUAGAAGGUCGUGACUAUGUAUUACUUCCCCAAGAAGUUUGGAACCAAUUAUUUAGAUGGUAUGGUGGUGGACCUACAUUGGCAAGGAAAGUUAUUAGUUCAGGUCUUUCCCAGACUGAAUUGACAGUAGAGGUGUAUCCUUUACGGCUUCAAUUACUUAUGUUGCCAAAAAAUGAUCGUUUUGCUAUAAGAAUAAGCAAGAAGGAAACCAUUGGACAGCUUCACAGAAAAGCUUGUGAAAUAUUUGAUCUUCAGCCAGACCAAGUGUGUAUUUGGGACUACUAUGCCCGUCGGAAGCAUGCUUUGAUGAAUGACAUGGACAAAACUCUCGAUGAUGCUAAUUUACAAAUGGACCAAGAUAUUCUUGUUGAAGUCAUCAACAAUACAAACAACACAAAUAUUUCUCAAGAAAAUGGGUCUGCACAGAGGGAAGCGAAUUCUGUUCUUGUGGAGCCUUCAAAAUCAAUCUUAUCAAUUGCUGGUGGCUUAUCUGCUAGCAAAGGUUCUGCAUCUAAAGGCUACAACAUGGACCUUUCUUCAUCUCAGAACCUAAAUUCCCCAGUUAGAGAUGUGGAAAACCCUUAUGGAACCAGUGGUGUCACCACAAGGGGUUCAUUUGGUAGUCUCACUGGGUUGCUGAAUCUUGGCAAUACUUGUUACAUGAAUAGUGCGAUUCAGUGCCUUGUUCAUACACCGGAAUUUGCUAGGUACUUCAGGGAAGACUAUCAUCAAGAAAUAAAUUGGCAAAAUCCAUUAGGCAUGGUUGGUGAACUAGCCCUGGCAUUUGGUGAUUUGCUUCGAAAACUAUGGGCACCUGGGAGAACACCAAUCGCUCCUCGGCCUUUUAAAGCAAAGCUUGUUCGCUUUGCACCUCAGUUCAGUGGGCACAAUCAACAUGAUUCUCAGGAGCUUUUAGCAUUUCUUCUGGAUGGUCUUCAUGAAGACUUGAAUCGUGUAAAGCACAAACCAUAUAUAAAGUCUCGAGAUGCUGAUGGACGACCUGAUGAAGAAGUGGCUGAUGAAUAUUGGGCAAAUCAUAUUGCUCGCAAUGACUCCAUAAUUGUUGAUGUAUGCCAGGGACAAUACAAGUCAACUUUGGUUUGUCCAGUUUGCAAUAAAGUUUCUGUAACAUUUGAUCCUUUUAUGUACCUUUCCCUUCCACUCCAGUCCACCACCACCAGGACCAUGACAGUGACAGUUUUUGCUUGUGAUGGGAAUGCCCUUCCAUCUCCAUGCACAGUAACUGUCCCUAAGCAGGGACGAUGCAGAGAUCUCAUCCAGGCACUUAGCAAUGCUUGCUCAUUGAAGCAUAAUGAGAGGCUAUUGCUUGUGGAGAUAAGAAACCAUUUGAUCCAUAGAUAUUAUGAAGAUCCUCUUCUAUUGUUAUCUAGUAUCAAAGAUGAUGACCGUCUUGCUGCUUACAAGAUUCCAAAGAUAGACAAGAACACAAAAUAUCUCCAGUUGAUACAUCGUCGAAGAGAGCAGAGUAGUGACUCACACAUCAUAUCUGGAUGGAAACCAUAUGGAACACCUAUUGUUUCAUUGAUUUCAUGUGAUGAUACAGUCACAAGAGGUGAUAUACAAGUUAUAGUUAAUCGUAUUCUCUCUCCUCUGCUAAGGAAAGGUAGCAAUGUAGAACAAGCUACUAAUUCUGAAGCAAGCAUCCAAAAAGCUGCAUCUGAUCAAUCCAGUUUUACUUCUGAUGAUGCAUAUGCUGCCAACAUGGUGUCAAAUUCAGUAAAUAAGGAUUCUACCAAUUCAAAGUCAUCACCAAUGCCAACAUUACCUCUUCUCUUGGUAGAUGAUAACAAUGCUUGCAUUGAUCUUUCAAUGGGAGAGGAGAAAGUAGUUAAACUGUCACCUUCGUCAUCAAAAGUAUUAGUGUAUAUUGAUUGGUCUCAGAAGCUUCUGGAGAAGUAUGAUACUCAUCCACUUGAGACUUUGCCUGAAAUUUUAAAAUAUGGGCCUGUAACCAAGAAAGCUCGUACUGAACCUCUCUCCUUGUACACCUGCUUGGAAGCUUUCCUGCGUGAAGAACCUCUGGUGCCUGAAGAUAUGUGGUACUGUCCUAAAUGCAAAGAGAGACGACAAGCAAGCAAGAAGCUUGAUUUGUGGAGGCUCCCAGAGGUUUUGGUCAUUCAUUUGAAGAGGUUCUCAUACAGCAGGUCAAUGAAGCACAAACUGGAGACUUUUGUUAACUUUCCCAUUCAUGAUUUUGAUUUAACUAAUUACAUAGCCAACAAAAACAACUCUCGCCGUCAACUGUAUGAACUAUAUGCCCUGACAAAUCAUUAUGGUAGUAUGGGUAGCGGGCAUUACACUGCACAUAUCAAGCUUUUAGAUGAGAACAGAUGGUACAAUUUUGAUGACAGCCACAUAUCACCCAUAAGUGAAGAUGAGGUCAACACUGCUGCUGCCUAUGUUCUAUUUUACCGGAGGGUGAAGACUGAUGAUGCAACUGUUAGUAACGGGGCUUAGUCUUUCAUGUUGGCAGUUUUAUGUAUAAAGUAGAUGUCAAGAACAUACCUGGUUAUUCCAGAAAAGUUUUAGGAAGAGGCUUUGUAGGUGAAACUAAUGACGGAGUUAUUGACAACACAUAACAAGUGACUCUGGUGUGGCCUGAAAGAGAGGGUUCUACAUUUGGGUCCAUCUGAUGCCUUCCUCUUAUUUCAGUAUUAGAGAUCCAAAUGGUUUAAGCAUGCUGUGGGAUGUAGUUGUCAUGGAUUUUCGAUGUAUUUGGAGUUUUCUUUUUUGCGUAUAUGAAGUCCCAGUCGCAUCAUUGUGACAUUCCUCAAUUGUAAGAGUCAACAACGUUUAGCAUAGGUUGGAUUUAGCAACUAAUUCAUCAAUUGUAGCUGUUUACUACUCUACUUGAUGAAUUUGGACUAAUGUAAAAUUCAAAACUGAACAAUAGUAAUGGUGGUAAAU